UGAUCGGUACGGGUUGUGAGAGCAAGAGCCCGGAGAUGGAACCUGAGACAAGGUUCCAGGCCCUACGGGGUGCAGCAGGCGCGAAACCUCCGCAAUGUGAGAAAUCGCGACGGGGGGAUCCCAAGUGCCAUUCUUAACGGGAUGGCUUUUCAUUAGUGUAAAAAGCUUUUGGAAUAAGAGCUGGGCAAGACCGGUGCCAGCCGCCGCGGUAACACCGGCAGCUCUAGUGGUAGCAAUUUUUAUUGGGCCUAAAGCGUCCGUAGCCGGUUUAAUAAGUCUCUGGUGAAAUCCUGUAGCUUAACUGUGGGAAUUGCUGGAGAUACUAUUAGACUUGAGACCGGGAGAGGUUAGAGGUACUCCCAGGGUAGAGGUGAAAUUCUGUAAUCCUGGGAGGACCGCCUGUUGCGAAGGCGUCUAACUGGAACGGUUCUGACGGUGAGGGACGAAAGUUAGGGGCGCGAACCGGAUUAGAUACCCGGGUAGUCCUAACUGUAAACGAUGCGGACUUGGUGUUGGGGUGGCUUUGAGCUGCUCCAGUGCCGAAGGGAAGCUGUUAAGUCCGCCGCCUGGGAAGUACGGUCGCAAGACUGAAACUUAA
rnacentral:rRNA from 1 species